CGGUGAUCUGAAGUAAACCCUGAAGCUGAGGAAUACAAGUGUCCAAGAGCUCCAUUGUUAGAUACGGAGCCAUUAUGAUGCUGGUUCACAGUAUUGCUCCAUAGUUCCUUCCCCAUUGAAACCUGUUGGGAAUCUGGUAACUUGGGAUACUUAUCUGGAAUAGGUAAAACAGGAAAAGAAGACAUAGUCCCAAAAGAUCGGCUACCACAGUGCGGUUUCAGAUAUAUAGCGAACUCCCAUUCCUUUCCAUGUAAGAAUUUCAGCAGCUUCUUUUCUCCUUGCAGGGCCUCCCCGUAAUCACCAGGUAAUCACUCUUGCGGAUCGUCCCAGCCUUACGUCUUGGAAGCUCCGGCGUCAGCUUCGACUAAAACUAGUGCUCCUCGUCCGACAUGAUCGACUGCGUGUGUAGGGGAGACGAGAGAUGAAGUCGAA
rnacentral:misc_RNA from 1 species